GCCACUGACUGGGAUACAGGAGGCCGGGUAUCAGAAAUGACAUGAACUACAGGAGCUUAAUGAAAAACAUUCCACAAGCAGACUAAAGAGGAUAAUAUGUCAGGUGGCCAUUGAAGAGCAGCUGAAAGAGCUUCCUGUCCACUCUUUUUAUUUCAGGGGGUCACUUUUGGACAUCCCAAAUAUGGUGUUUUUCUGUCAUUUCUGGCCAUAUUAUACUCUAAUAUGUAUCAACAGACUAUAAUUGACCCAUUUUAAGCAGUUUUUGGCAUUUUAGAAUGUGUCCAAUUUUGCCCCAAAUCGACAUGCUAUAGUAUGACUUUUUUUUCAGGGGGCCAUUUUUGGACAUCCCAAAAUAUGGUGUUUUUCUGUCAUUUCUGGCCAUAUUAUACUCUAUAUAUGGUGUUUUUUUGUUAUUUCUGAAAAGUCACCCUACUACAUGUAUCAACUGAGUGUAAUAAGACCAUUUACAUGAGAGUAUUUGGGGCAUUUAGAACUUCCAGACACUCCAGAGCUUUGUGUUAUGCUCCUCCUCCAUACUUGCCCACCGAUGUCUGGGUCUAUAAGAAAAGUAUAUAAUUUAACAUAAAUCCUUGUUUGAUCCGUUUAAAAAAGGAAAAUCGUGCAACUACAGAUAUGGUUUUCUGUACUUACAAGCCCAGGAUCGAACGUGAAAUAAUCCGAAAGUUAAACUUCAUUAACACAAUUCCAUAGCCUUUAUUUCAAUGGGCCGAAAGCUGAAAAACAUUGUAAACAAUAUCCAUUUAUUUAGAUAUUCCAGAAAUAAUCUCAUAAACUCUAGCUUCAUUCUACAUCUGCACAAAGAAGACAUAAUUUGACAGACACAUUACAUUUAAAGGGAACUCAACAGUCCAAUGGCCCUGUGACUCAAAACACUGAAUUAUAUUUAUUUAAAGACUAGAAAUGUGUGUUUCUGAUUUGAGAUAGAUAUGUUUUGCAUU